rnacentral:misc_RNA from 1 species
CACAAUAAAAUAUGAAGGCUGUACGCGGCUGUGCUCUCGGGCCAGUUUUGCGGAGGCUGAAUUAUUUAUUACCCUUGUCUUUUGCGCACUUGUUGUUUCCUGGGCGGGCUCGCCCGCCACCAGGACCACAUCCUAAACCUUUUUUAUGCAGUUGCAAUCAGCGUCAGUAUAACAAAUGUAAAUCAUUUA